rnacentral:lncRNA from 1 species
CUUCGCCGAAGUUCCCUUUGCCAGACCAACGACCGUUGGCUCCUCGGUGACCAGCCGCACGAGCUGCCGAGCUUUUCUUUUGGAAGCAAAGGAAAAACAAAAACAAAAACAAAAGAAAAAGAGAAAAGCAAAUUAGGUAGUUUGUUUUUCUUUAUUUUAUUAUUUAUUCAUUUUAAAUUUUGUUAUUAUUGUUUAAGUUAGAAUAUGGUUUGUCAAUAUUAAUAUUUGUGCAUUUUGUAGGCAUUAUACGUAAGGAUUUUGUCCGAACUUAUUGUAAUUAUUAAUUUGAUCCGAGAGACAUCGG